AGCAGCAGCCGCGGUAACACGUAGGGUGCAAGCGUUAAUCGGAAUUACUGGGCGUAAAGCGUGCGCAGGCGGUUCUAUAAGACAGAUGUGAAAUCCCCGGGCUCAACCUGGGAACUGCAUUUGUGACUGUAGAGCUGGAGUGCGGCAGAGGGGGAUGGAAUUCCGCGUGUAGCAGUGAAAUGCGCAGAUAUGCGGAGGAACACCGAUGGCGAAGGCAAUCCCCUGGGCCUGCACUGACGCUCAUGCACGAAAGCGUGGGGAGCAAACAGGAUUAGAUACCCCCGUAGUCCCUGUCUCUUAUAC
rnacentral:rRNA from 1 species